UGGGCGGGGCUACAGUGACAAGCGGGCUCGGCAGCAGCCACUGAUGCUAAGCUAGCAUCGCCAAUUGACAACACUUUCUCGACAAAGUCCUCUUUUUGUGGGACAACAAUCAUGGUUUCUCACUCCUUCGCCUUGCCGACGACCUGCUGUACCACGCUGUGGGCGCUGGUGGGGGUCGUGGCUCCCUUUUUUUAGUGCCAAAAGGACCGAAUGGAGGUAAAGAAAGUGGAGAAUGCUGUCACACCCGCCUCAGGUGAAGGUAAUGUAACCUUUGUAAACCGGACUUUCCAACCGAGGAUGGCAAGGCACGCAGUUGUAAACUGUCAGGUUCAAACACUGUUGACAUCUAUUAAACAAGACAAAAAGGCAAAGAAUCAAACAGAGACGGAGUUAAAUUUGGACUCAGAUCUGAGGAGAGACAUGGCCUCUGUACACCUUGCACAGUUCCUGCACCAAGUUCUGACGAAAAGGUUUUCGUCUCCUCUUUUAUUUAGAUAUUCAAUGUUUACGCAACAACACAUGUCAAAACAGGAAUGGGGAGCAUACACACAGUCACUGUUGUCGGUCACAUUGAAGACAAAAGAAGACGAUGUCUCGGGUCCGGCCUCGUCCUGGUCUCAGCAGAACAGGAAUGGGGAGUAUAUAAACAGUCAUUGUUUUCGGUCACAUUGAAGACAAAAGAAAGACGAUGCCUCGGGCUUGGGCUCGUCCUGGUUUCAGCUUCGGCAAAACAGGAAUGGGGAGUAUAUAAACAGUCAUUGUUUUCGGUCACAUUGAAGACAAAAGAAAGACGAUGCCUCGGGCCCGAGCUCCUCCUGGUCUCGGCUUCGGCAGGUCUUUGAGGACAAAAGAAAACCCCUCUCGUCGCAUUCCAAUGUACACAGCGGAAUUCCCCAAGACCUUGCUUGGUUGAAGAAGGACAGCUCUCAACUACUCAAUUAAAUAAAAGAGAUCUGAAAGUUU